GACGAACGCUGGCGGCGUGCUUAACACAUGCAAGUCGAACGGAAAGGCCCUGCUUUUGUGGGGUGCUCGAGUGGCGAACGGGUGCGUAACACGUGAGUAACCUGCCCUUGACUUUGGGAUAACUUCAGGAAACUGGGGCUAAUACCGGAUAGGAGCUCCUGCUGCAUGGUGGGGGUUGGAAAGUUUCGGCGGUUGGGGAUGGACUCGCGGCUUAUCAGCUUGUUGGUGGGGUAGUGGCUUACCAAGGCUUUGACGGGUAGCCGGCCUGAGAGGGUGACCGGCCACAUUGGGACUGCGAUACGGCCCAGACUCCUACGGGAGGCAGCAGUGGGGAAUAUUGCACAAUGGGCGGAAGCCUGAUGCAGCAACGCCGCGUUCGGGAUGACGGCCUUCUGGUUGUAAACCGCUUUCGCCUGUGACGAAGCGUGAGUGACGGUAAUGGGUAAAGAAGCACCGGCUAACUACGUG
rnacentral:rRNA from 1 species